UGGUAGAUGCACCCUGAUAACUAACUCCCCUGGUAGGACAACUCCUACUAGGGUUUUUUAAU
rfam:Calothrix sp. PCC 7507, complete genome.